rnacentral:misc_RNA from 1 species
CCUCCUUAUACAAUNAAGAANUUAUUNGUCCNUAGUGNCCACNCANAUAAUUGUGANCUAGUAUAACCCUUAGGGUGUAACUGAUUAAUAUGCUCUUUAAAUNUUUGUAUAAGCUGAUAAUAAAAUACGUAUGAAUAACACUGUUUUUUGUACAAAGUUUUCAUAAGUACACAAGAAUGAUAGCAGUUAUCAUGCAUUGCCAAUUUGAUCAUGAUAUGAUUAAUGGGUAUCUACUGUAAUAUUCAAUAUUAACUUCUGGCGAAGUUAAACUGUCACUAUCAAAAACCCGUUUGGGUUGUAUGGUUACGAGAUUAACCGUACGCGGUGGAUGCCUUGGCAAUUGGAGGCGAUGAAGGACGUAUCUACUUGCGAUAAGCCUAGUCAAGCUAUUAAAAAGCGCUUGAAACUAA